AGUGUGUCCUGCAGAGGCCCCACAUUACCCGGUACCUUCUUUUUACCCCCUAUGUAUUUAAAAAAGGACUUCUUGUUAACUUUGAUCUGGGUCGCUACUCCCAAUUCUCCAUUUCUGCCUAGGCC